GUGCUGGUUUUGUCAGCACACAUUCUAAAAUUAUAAUGAUACAGGGAAGAUUAGCAUGACUCCUGAGUAAAAAUGACAUGCAAAUGCGUGAAGUGUUCCAUAUGUUU
ensembl:snRNA U6 U6 spliceosomal RNA